AGUGUAAGAUCAGGAUCACAUGUGUCUGUGAAGAGUGACCGGUCAAAGAAUCAUGACAUACCGAACUUCAGUGAGAAAAAAACAUCAGUCAGAAGUGUAAGAUCAGGAUCACAUGUGUCCAGCUCUGUGUCUGUGAAGAGUGACCUGUCAAAGGGUGACGGACCAGACUUCAGUGAAGAAACAACAUCACGAACCAAACGGCUUAAGUAUGAAACAUUAGAUCCAGAUUUACAGUCUCACAGGAACGACAAGAAUUUUACAGACAGUCUCCU